rnacentral:ncRNA from 1 species
CAGAAAUAUAAAAGGAAAGUAGGUUGGCGCCCCUCUUCAUAAGUCUGGAAAAGGUUUAGGGGCUCAUAUAAUAAGGCAUUGCCACUUACUGUAUGGCAUCUAACCAUUUUAU